AGCAAUUUACACUUAGUGCCCUAUUUUGCCAAUGAUAACUUUCUGUAUAUACUUCUUGAUAUUUGAACAUAGCCUUUCUGCCAUUCUUCUGCAGUACUUUUUACAUAUUUGCUAAUGCUGUGGUUUUGCUGAAAGCUAUGAUACUUUUUCAGAGCGCUGUAUAAUGAGAAAUUAACUUGCAAGGAAGUUGAAUUUUUGUGUUUCUCUUGUAUGCAUCAAAUGUACUAGGGUUGUACCCCUUUUCGUGUGUUGUAAUGAAUUAUUACCUUAUAUGAAGAACAAUAUUUCAAAACGGAAAUACUGUAACAGUAUGGUAAAAAUAGAUACAAUUGUAAGCAGAUUAUAUGGAUUUUGGUGCAUGACAUGAGUUCUUAGGUUAAUAUGUAAAAGGUUUCAUAGUCCUGCUGUAUGGUAAGAAAGCUAUGCGACUCCUGCUAUGGUACAGAAGUUACCAUGUACUGCAACCGUGAUCUUAUAAUAGGGAAUACCCAACCAUCUUGUCAAUAAGAAAAAAAAAAAAGAAUUUGUUCUUUCCUUGUAUCUCUUGAAAAUGGGUGCUAUCUUUGGUAUAUUGCCUGUGUACACAGGUGUUCCGUUGCUCUUUUAAUAAAUUCUCUAUUACUUUUUUAAAAAAAAAAGAUGAAAUCUAUGAGAGAUUGACUUCAAAAACUUUUAAGGAUGCUCUUAUUUGUGCUUUGCAUUUAGCACAAAAGGCACCUGAUUUUAUGCUUAUGUAUGAUCGGGGUCUUUGGGCCAUAUGCUACAAUUUUAUUUUGUGCUGGUGCUUUUCCCUUGAUGUGUGCUUUUAAAAACACCACACCAUAAUCUUCUGAGCAGAUACCAUUGCAUACACGAGCUAUGUGCUGCUUGCUCCCCCGACACGGUGGAGAAAAGAAACGUAUUUUAUAUCCCUUUGUUCAUGUAUUUUUUAUUAGAGUAAUUGUAUUAAUGAAGGAGAAAUAUUUAUAUUGUACCAUUUGAAUUGGUACCUAUUAAGUUUGCCCCUUCAAAAUAUGUAGUAGUAAGCAGAUGCCAAUCUAGGUAGUCAUAACAAUGCAAGGUUCAGUACAAAAAAAAUAUAAUGCCCAAACGAAGCUCUACUAUUGUGAUACCAUAUGAUAAGGAUAAGGGUAGGUGGUGUAUAGGAUCCCACAUUGCUUGGGAAGGAGAAAUUCUUGCUCUUUAUAAGAUUCCAAUGGGGUUUCAAUUGUAUGAUUGACUAUUCCUUUUGGAGUAUAGGCUAUGUACUUUGAGCCUUCCAUUGGGGCGUUACAAAUGGUAUUAGAGCCUAUCCCAAUCAGAAAUGUGGGACUUGAGCCGUGCCACCUGCAAAGAAUAGGCCUAACGAGGACGUUGAGAAUUUAAGAGGGGGAGAUUGUGAUACUCCAUUUGAUAAGGAUAAGGGUAUGUGGUGAAUGAGAUCUCACAUUGCUUGGGAAUGAGAAGUUCUUGCUCUUUAUAAGGUUCCAAUGAGGCUCCAAUUGUAUCAUUGACUAGUCCUUUUGGAGUAUAGGCCAUGUGGUUUGGGCCUUCUAUUGGGGCGUUACAAAUGGUAUCAGAGCCUAUCCCAACCAGAAAUGUAGGACUUGAGCUGUACCACCUACAACGGAUAGGCCUGAUGAGGACGUUGGGAAUUUAAGGGGGGGAGAUUGUGAUACUCCAUAUGA